ACGAAGGGGGCUAGCGUUGCUCGGAAUGACUGGGCGUAAAGGGCGCGUAGGCGGAUUGUACAGUCAGGCGUGAAAUUCCCGGGCUCAACCUGGGGGCUGCGCUUGAGACGUGCGAUCUUGAGUGGGGAAGAGGGUCGUGGAAUUCCCAGUGUAGAGGUGAAAUUCGUAGAUAUUCGCAAGAACACCAGUGGCGAAGGCGGCUCACUGGCCCGAUACUGACGCUGAAGCACGAAAGCGUGGGGAGCAAGCAGG
rnacentral:rRNA from 1 species